rnacentral:lncRNA from 1 species
AAUGACAAGUGAAUAAACACUCACCACGAGAAUAAACUGCUUAGCAUGGAAGAUAUUGACCACGCCGAUUGCUCCAUGAGUAGUAUGGGCACACAAAAUUGAUGUUUAUUUGUAGGUUUUAGAGGUGGCACAUGCAAGUUUACUUGGAGUGGCAAUAAAAUACCAUAUAUAGGUAGGUAUGGUGGACUGUCAUGGAAGAAACAUGGCUCAAGGAUUUG